rnacentral:rRNA from 1 species
CCUACGGGGUGCAGCAGUGGGGGAUAUUGCACAAUGGGGGAAACCCUGAUGCAGCGACGCCGCGUGUGGGAAGACGGUCCUCUGGAUUGUAAACCACUGUCCCCAGGGACGAAGAUGACGGUACCUGGGGAGGAAGCUCCGGCUAACUACGGGCCAGCAGCCGCGGUAAUACGUAGGGGGCGAGCGUUGUCCGGAAUUACUGGGGGAAAAGGGAGGGUGGGCGGGACUGCAAGUUGGGUGUCAAAUCUACCGGCUCAACCGGUAGCCGCACUCAAAACUGCAGUUCUUGAGUGAAGUAGAGGCAGGCGGAAUUCCUAGUGUAGCGGUGAAAUGCGUAGAUAUUAGGAGGAACACCAGUGGCGAAGGCGGCCUGCUGGGCUUUUACUGACGCUGAGGCUCGAAAGUGUGGGGAGCAAACAGGAUUAGAUACCCCUGUAGUC